rnacentral:snoRNA from 1 species
AACCUCCUGGUGCUUACCCCAGGCUGUGUUCUUACACUGCCUGUAUAGAAAGUUGACACAAAAUAAACCCAACCCAAAUACACCUUAGACCAGACCCUGUGCCUGGAUGGUACUGUGAAUGAGGAGAACGAG